AGUUGUUCCUUUCAUUGACUGCUUAGGCA
rnacentral:piRNA from 1 species